rnacentral:rRNA from 1 species
GAUGAACGCUGGCGGCGUGCUUAACACAUGCAAGUCGAACGGAAAGGCUCCUGCUUGCAGGGGUACUCGAGUGGCGAACGGGUGAGUAACACGUGGGUGAUCUGCCCAGCACUUCGGGAUAAGCCUGGGAAACUGGGUCUAAUACCGGAUAGGACGAUGGUUUGGAUGCCAUUGUGGAAAGUUUUUUCGGUGUGGGAUGAGCUCGCGGCCUAUCAGCUUGUUGGUGGGGUAAUGGCCUACCAAGGCGUCGACGGGUAGCCGGCCUGAGAGGGUGUACGGCCACAUUGGGGCUGAGAUACGGCCCAGACUCCUACGGGAGGCAGCAGUGGGGAAUAUUGCACAAUGGGCGCAAGCCUGAUGCAGCGACGCCGCGUGGGGGAUGACGGCCUUCGGGUUGUAAACUCCUUUCGCUAGGGACGAAGCGCAAGUGACGGUACCUUGAGAAGAAGCACCGGCUAACUACGUG